rnacentral:ribozyme from 14 species
UUUUACUUUCUUGUCUUCUUCUUUUCUUCUUCUUUAACUUUCUUUACUUAUGUUCACUUCCUUAUUACAAAUAAGAAGAGGAAGAGUGAGUGCGCAUGAGAGAGUCAAAGAGGCGGAAAAGAAAAA